AGUCUUUAAUAAAAGAGGAUAAAUGAAUGAACAAACUACUUAAGGACAAACAUAUAACAAUAUAUUGAGAGACUCUAGAGACUUUUAGAAAAAUGUUUAACCCAACGAAUGAUCACUGUUCAUAAUUAUGAAUUGGACUGUCUCUGAUAACUCCUCUAACUGUACUUUUCUGGUUGGAUCACUGAUCAAGUUUUGUCUGGUGUUGUAGUACCUGCACUGUUCCUGAGCAUCUCUUGUUUCCAUCCCAUAGAGGGAACACAAUUAAAUCUUUUCUCAGAAUUAUUCAGCUUGCUGUCACCAAAGAUGGUCGAUAACUGUCCUCAAGGUACACAUUGCAAUUAGUGUUUGAGAUUUCUCAGGCCCUGCAGGACAGGACUUGGUAGGUGCAAUGCUGAGGCUAUAAUGAGAUUCUGUCAAUGGGCAUCAUUCAAGCUUAGCAAGGAGUCCGGGGUGAGAAGCAGAAGUGGGCAAGCGCAGGAGGGCACUCUGCAGGAGAGAGGCACCCUUGGGACAUUGAUGGGUACCCGAAAACCAAAGUUGGUGUUAGAACCAGAGAGCCCUCCACAUGCCCAGCUAGUAGUAAGGGCCGGUGAGAACAAUCACCAGAAGGUUCUGGAAGAGUUGCACAAACCUAAUGAGCAGCUACACUUUCCUGACCCUGUCAUGUACCGGCAGUCUCCUUGAUGGUCCCUGGCAGGGCUGUUCCAGACCUGAAUAAAAGACUGGAAAAGGCUAUUACCUUACUUCAUUCAGUCAAGUCUAAGAUACCCUUGGAUGUAAGACCCACCAUUAUUUUAUGUAAGAAGGGAAAAACACUGUCAGUAGACUGAGGGGUGCCUUUAACAACAGUCCUGACUGACCUAGGAAUCAAUCACAGCAGAGUUUCUUGAAAUUAAUUUUCAUGUCUUCUGAGAAAUUUAGCAAUGAAACAGCUAUCUCGAUGACAGAAAGUAACACAGCUUGUCUGUCCUUGUUGGUCUCUCCCUUUCGGAGGUUUCUGAGGCACUUGGUUGUUCCUUUGCAAGAAAACAUGGACUUAAUGAUCAUUCCUCUGUGACAAAUAUUCGUUACUAAUACCACAUUUACAUCCUACUGUUUGGCUUCUGUGCCUUUCUGAGUACAAAAUAGCUUGUCAUUUCAAUGCUGAAUCAUGGUGGAAUUUUUUUUUUUUUUUUUUUUUGAGAACAUUUCUAAAUGGCAGUUAAGCUCUCGGGUUGAACUAACAGAUGCACAUGCCUCACAACCGAAGUGGGGACUGUGUGAGAAGCCAAGUGGCUACACAGACAGGCAAAGGCAGUGUUGUCAUAACCCCCACCACUUAGACCAACAGCUAAGGCACGGCUGACUGGGAUAAAUCUGGAUUCUAGAGCUGUUUACGUUGUGAAAAACUGCAUCUUGGAAUCGGUAGAAUACAAUGAUUUUGUCAGAUUCCAUGAUCUGGGAGAGAGUUCUGCGCCUAAGACGUGUUUCUUGAAUGUCCUCUGUUUGCCGGGGAAUGUUCUAGACCUACGGUCGAUGGUUUCCCUAACCACGUGGAGCUCACUCACACUGAGUAGGGAGAACACAGGAUCAAUGAAUAACCAGAGAAGUAAUCACGUGGUUUUGAGUGCAGUGAAAGAAGUGGAUGGGGCUGAGAUAGAGCCUCACAGAGAGGAGGGUCAGGGUGUGUCAAACAUUUAUGCUAAAUCCUCUCCAAUCUUGCUGAUUUCCAACUGAGUGGACUUUUUGAUUUCGGUCUCUGAGAGUCGCUGAGGGCCUGCAGGGUGAUCGCCUGCCAAGGUUUGCCCAGGACAGAGGGGUUUCCUGGGAUGUGGGAAUGGCAGUCCAGAGACGGGCAGUCCCAGCCCCCCUGGCACACUUGGUCUCCCUGCAGCGUUCCAGCUCGGUUUCCUUUUGGUUUAAUAUUUGCAUUACUCUCACCGUAUGGAGUAAAGUUUGAUGCUAACCUUAAAACUGUGACUUAUUUUCUUCCACUUCCAUCUCUUCUAUUUGCAUAAAAAGAGGUUAAUUUGAUAGAUAGGAGUAAAGUCUUAUAAUCCCCAAAUGCAUUCAGUCGGUGAACAGCACUGAUUAAGCUCCUAGGUCACGUCCUGGGGGUGGGGGGUCGCUGCAGUGGGGGGGCCAGGUGGCCCCGAGGGGGAGGGGCGCCUGUCUCAGAGGCUGGAGGAAGACAGGGACCGUCCACCAAGUACUCCAGGAGUUGCCAGGAGUGGGCGUCUGAUGAUGCGGAGGUGAGGAAGGCAGGGGAAGCUGCCUUCUGUUUGUAAUUUUUUUUCACUUUAGAUGAACAAUACGAACCACAGGCUUCAAAGAACAGCAAUUUUCUUUGCCUUUGAAAUGAGGUAAGAGCAAAAACAACGUCAUGCUUUCAUGUUAGGAAUCAUUUUGGUCACACGGCGUGGCUCUGUUAUGUAACUAAAAGACUGGCUCAACUCUGGACUGCAAACGCUUUCAUGACUAUAUGAAAUACAUCAUUUUUCUCUUUAAACCAAUGGAACGUGUAUUCUUAGCUUUUCCUUCAAGGAAGGGGCCCCCGCGUGGAGAAGCCAUUUCCGCUUCUGUGAGCUAAUGCCGUGGUUGGGGCUCAGUGACAUUGUCGUCUUUAUUAGGGUUCACGAGCCCUCAGGGAACAUCAUGUCCCAUCUCUGCCUUCAGCUCAGGGUUGACCGGUAAUGACUCGCCCGUCUGCGGCAACAGUCAACAACUACUGUGUGAUUCCUUUUCUUGCCCCUGCCCCUCUCCAUUCCAUAUCCCUCCUCUCUCUCUUAAACAAUUAGUUCCUUCUUUAAUGGCUCAUUGCUCUGAACACUGUGGUCUGUCUUAGAAGCACUGUCCUCUGAACCAAGCCACCAACUCUCUACCUGAUCACUGUUGUUUAUUAUUAUUAUUAUUUUUAAAGAUGGAGGUUGUCAUAUGAAAAUGGGGGCCUUGACUCUUGAACCUAUGUCAAAACUUUAUUUAGCUCACACAUGGCCAGGAAAUAGAAUGUAGGUAUGAGAACGUGUGUGGUUGGGCACGCUCACGUGUGCGUGUGUGCACGCACCUGAAAUAGUACAAAACCGAAAAGACAUAAAGUUAAGUAAGAUUGAUAAUCAGUUUUUAAAUGAGAUGUGUUUUACGGGUCGAAGUUAUUUGAAAGCUGAACAGCUGGUGUCAAAAAUAGACUUCCCAUUCCUUCCAAAGUGUGGCAAAAAUAACCACAUGCCUUUCUUGGCCUCCUGACUCUCACCCCAGAGGGUUUUCUUGUAUAGGAACCAACAAUGCCUUGGAUGGAAACUCUGGAUAGGCUAGUCAUUAUUUUAAGAUUUAGGAGAUUGCAGAUUCUUGGCAGACCUUGGUUGUUUUUCUAGAGUAGUAGGCAAGUAGUUGGACAAAAAGCAAGAAGCCGAUCUACGCCGCUGGCUUUGGGUUCUUCGUGAACAAAUGAGACAAGGUUGGUGGGUGUCUGAGUCUACCAUGAAGAACAGUGGAAGAUCCCCAAGCCUUGUCAAGCCUGUACAACACUUGUGAAGACAGAAUUACCCUGAGGAGUGAGCAGUGAGAGACGGAUGGGUCAGGAUUCUCCCCUUGACAAAAGAGGACAGAAAGCAGACAAAAACUGACCGCCCACUGUCGAUGGGCAGCUGACCAGAGGCCUUGACAGUGUCCACUGAUUUGGUGUCAGAAGGUGAUCUGGACCACGCUGACGUCCCCCUUCCUCCUCCCAGGCAUUCAAAGUAAGGAGUGCCCAGAGCAUUCGUUCGGUACGCAUUGGGAAGAGGUACGUGGCUAACUAUGAUCCUUUUACGUGUUUUCAAAUCAAAUGCUUCUAGCUAGGCUUCCUGGGUUGGCUAAAAUCCUUUCUUCCUGGACUCAGGAUGCAUUUACUACCCAUUCUAUUUAUGUAUCAUAUGAAUUAUCAUCACUGAUGGUUGAAUGGCUGGAGUCAGAGAAAUGUGGUAGCCCUAAUGGAAUUAAUUAAUUGAAUAAUAUUGCCUGACAAAUGACUCUGUAUACCAAAGAGGGCUUGAGACUUAAUUACCGAUGUCAUUUAUCUCUCUAUUUGCACCCCAACAAUAAGCAACUCCUUUCUCAUUAACGUUGGGUCAUUUUCCAAAAGGAAGAAAAGAGGCCAAAAUAUCAGGAAGGGGGAAAAAAAAUUGAUGUCUUUGUUCCUCAUCUCAUUAUCCUGAUAAAUCAUAACAGACUCUGUUAAUUAGAUGGGCAGUCUUAACUGGCUGACUCCUGUCCAACAAUUACCUCAGAAAGAAGCACCACUGGGAACAUUGCCUUCCCUUGGGAAGAGAUGAAAGGAAGUCUGUAACAAAAAAAAAGGGAUCGUUCCCCCAACCGUGCUGGGGGGAUCACAGUUGUCAAGGCAAAUUUUGAGACUGAAGGGCGGGACCUGUUUCAGGGAUGGUGCCUGUGCUUUAUGGCGACAUGGGGUAUCUGACACUGCCUUCCUAAUCUAAGGCUUAGGUAAUGGUGCUCGGUGCCUCAAACUCCCCUGGGGAGAUUAGAGCCUAAUUAAAACAGGGGAACAGGUGUAAGAGGGCCUGAUUUGAUCUGGUCAAAUUAAUUGCUGAGAUUGGGCUUGCAUUUGGUGACUGGAAACAGUGAAUUAACUGUCACCGGAAUACAGCUAAUCCCUCGGUCUCACCGCGACUGUGUAUAAAACAGACUGAACUUGCUGGGAACACAAACACAGAGGGAUUUGAAGGCAGGUACGAUGCAUCCUUGCAUGGGAAAGCCUGGGCAGUGAGCCUAGCCCCAGAGGGAGGCCACCAUCAGACACUGUCUGCCUGGGAUGGGGCUGGUUUACGCCCGUUGUCCCUGAAAAAUUAUUAAUAGGGCCCCCUUUCAUUCUCAAAAUAAAAUGUCCCUGCAUGGACAAUAAAUCAAAUGGCUGCUAUAUUUUAAUGCCAAUUUUAAGCUACUUUUUUUUUCUUUACCAGAAGAGUGGUGUUAUAGGUUGAACUGCAUUCUCCCAAAAGGUAUCAAAGUCCUAACCCUCGAUACCUAUGAAAGUGAACAUUUGGAAAUUUGGGUGUUUGCAGAAGAUUAAGUUAAGAUGAUAUUAUCAGGGGGACCUCUGAUCCAAUAGGACUGGUGUGCUUAGAAAAAGGGAUCUUGGGAUAUUUGGACAGAGAGGCACACAAGCACAUAGGGAGAAUGCCAUGUGACGGUGCGGGCAGAGAUGGACAGGAUGCUUCCCCAAGCCCAGGGGUGCCAAAGAUUGCCAGCAAACCAGGAAAAGCUAAAAGAGAGGCCCGGAGUAGACCCCACCUCACAGCCCUCAGAAGGAACCAACCCUGUGAACUCCUUGAUCUCAAGACUCCCACUUCUAGAACUUCGAACCAGAACGUUUCUGUUCUUGAAGCCGCCCAUUGGUAAUGUUUGUUAUGGGCCCCCUAGCAAACUCAUUCAAAUGUGUGCUGGUUUCCAAUUGUCUGAAAACACUCUCAUUACUCUUAGUUUGUACAGUUCACAGAAAUGAGCUCUGUUGGUGGCAAAGACCAGUACAAGGCUGGUGUGAGAAGUCAUCAGUUCACUGACUUCUCAGUGCCAGUGCUGGGGGUGGGAUGAGGGAGACAGACAUGGUUCCUGGUGUCCAGGAGCAGCAGUUUGGUGGAAGGGAGGCAGUGCACAUGACCUUGUAUUUAAUUAGUUAGAUAUAAAUAUGUAUCGACUAUGCAGAGAAGGGAGGGAAGCACAUCCUGGGGCUGGAAAGAAAACAUCUCCUAGAGAAAGGGACUUCUAAGCUGACCUGAUAAGCAAGGGUUACCUGGAUGAAAAGAAAUAAGGGAUCUGUGGGAAAGAAAAAAGAAAUAAGAAGCAUGUGUGGAGUGUGUAGGGCAAGAGAGAGCCAGAAGUGUACGCUGAAGUGUACCCAGAGAAACCCAGAGAAACUGCAGGAGCAGAGAGAGAAACUGGAGAGGGCCGAGUUCCAGGUGAAGUCGCAGGUCUUCCUCUCAGCCCUCAUCACCUCAUUGAUGAGAAGUUUAAAGACACAUCAUGUCCCAGACCCUCCCCGCUAGGGGCUGGGGGAUACAAGUGGUGGAGACUAACAAGCAAGCUGCCAAUCAAGCAGUUGAUGGCCCAGGGCUGGGAAAACAGGUGGGAGCAGCCAGAGAAAACAAAGCCACCUCUUCUGUCUUGAGAAUUCCUCUGAGGUGAGUCUUGAGGUAAAGCUAUAUGCAAUGGCUAUGGAGGGGAUAGGAGAAACCGAAAAUGUUUAUCCUUGGUUCAGAAGAAGGGAACCCAUUGGUCCCUGAGCUUUCUGGCCAGUAGUUUUCAUGUGACUAGACUCGGAGAGAUCACAUAUUCUGUCCAGAAGCACUGAUUCUUUCUAAGUGUCUAAUGUGAUUCUAUUUACCUGAAGCAGAAUUUGGGUUUCUCCUUGUCUAGGUUUCAUUUAGGGACCUGGCAAGACAUUUCAGAACAUUCUACAGAAAACCUUUGUGAUGCCCUCUUGCCUUGGAGGUGCCAAUGCCCCACAUCCUCGGGCCUUGGUUAUUGGGACCCACCGAGAUGACGCCAUCUUGGAUUUAGGUUUCUAUCUCCUUGGCUAGAGUCUGAGGGAAUAUUGAAAUCAGUAGAUUCAACCCAUACUGUGCAGAGGGCUUUGAACUCUAGGUUUGGGGGUUCUUAGGUGCUACCCAAUCAGAAGGGGCCAUUAACAGUGCCAUUUGCAAGAUGGAUUUCUAGGUUGGAUGUUUGUCUUCUCGAGUUGACUUUAAUUAUCUGUCUCUGGUGGGCCCCAGGACAAAAAGUUUUGGUCAGGCAACACUGGGCUCUGGUUUUGUAGGCAUGGCAUUCAUUAUGUAAGCAUACAGGUCUGCAUUUCAAAAUGAAAAAUAACAAUAAUCAUUAAAGUUUCUUUAGCCUUCUUGUGUCCAAACCACUCUUGCAAAACCACCUCUGGAUGAGCUUUAAGUGUCAGCAAAUCAGAAACAUGUGGAUUUAAUUUCCUUUGAAAUACACCAAGGGAACGAGGGGCAAUGGGGCUUGGCAACCAGCUUCUUUGGGUUUGCCAAACCCCAAAUAUCUCACACUCAGGAAGCACCGUCCUGCUGGCCCCCCGCAGUCUUAUCUGGCCGGUCCAGCCACCACAUUUCUUGCUGUCCCAGCUAGGUUUACUCUAACCAUUAGGCUGUUCUCUUGGUCUACUCAGCUGCCAGAAGGACGCUGUUAACACCACCCACAUGCAUAACAGAGCCUUGGAAGAGGGCCAGGCUGCAAUGAGGUGUCAGGUUGGCUCUGGUCUUAUCUGGACGAGCAGACCAUCUUUGCAGCCAUAACCGUGUCUUUAAAACCCCAACCUACUGCGAGAGAGUUUUUUCCAACUUGACUUCUAGAUGGGAAAAUAUUUGGCUUUUAUGGUGGAUGAUGGUAUCAGGCCCCAAAUAUAUCAGGUUUCGUGACCAUCCAACUCUCAUGCGUAUAAUGUGAAACAGGUCCAUACUCUGCGAAGACCACAGCCGCCGCACCAUUAGGUUCCAAGGUAAAUACGGGCCCACAGACCUCCUGGGGAAAUAGAGAAGAAGUUUCCUUAAAGGAGAGGAACCCCACAGGCGGGUUGUCAUUAUGCGUCUCCAAACCCCUGAGCUCCUGGUCUACUCUAAUCGAAGAAUAAGGACAUGCCGAUGGGUCAGUGUUGUUCCUGGUCCAUUGUUUUUCUUUCUGGAUAUUCACGCCUCUAUUUUCCAUGUCUGGUGUCUCUUUUACCUUAAAUAACAAUGUGCCCUUAAUGCAAAGGACACACUGAACCUUAAAAAAGUACUUUUCGCAUUUGAAACAACUAAGGCUUUGGUGCCUGUAUGUCACAUAUUUACAUAUGCUGACUUUUGAUAUCUUCAUCUCCCUGAAGAGGCCACUGAGGCAGCCCCAGAGAGACAGAGUAACCUACACAUGACCCAACUGGUCAGUGACAGCCGCGCCUUGACCUUGGGCUGCUGAGAUCCAGAAAUGGUGUUCUUUCCAGUACAUGCUGUUGCCUCCUACUCCGCCGUGAUGGUUCAUUUUAUGUAUCAACUUGUCUGCCCAGAUAUUUGGUCCAACGUUAUUCCGAGUGUUUUCGUGGAGAGUGUUUGGGGAGGAGAAUAACACUUAAUAACACUUACAUUUUGGUAGACUGGGUAAAGCAGGUCCCCCACCCCCCCCACCCCCGCCUUGCAGUGUGUGGGGACCUCAUCCGAUCUGUUGAAGGCUUGGAUAGAACAAAAAGACAGACUCUCCCUUGAGUAAGGGAUGCUUCUCUUGCCUGUUGCAUUGAGCUGGGACACUGGCUUUCCCUGCUUGGGCUUGAACCGAAAUGUCAGCUCUUCUGGGAUGUGGAGCCUCCUGGCCUUGGGUUAGAACUUCACGGCUGACUGUCCUGGACCUCGGGCCUUUAGAGCUGGACUGGAAAUAUACCCCUGGCUCCCUUGAGGAUCUCUCUGGCCUCCUUACCCUGAAGAUCUUGGGAUUUGCCAGCUUACACAAUGGCAUGAGCAAGUUCCUUAUAAUGCCCCUGUCUCUGUCUGUCUGUCUCUAUCUCCAUUUAUCCUAUGGGUUCUUCUUCCCUGGAGAACCCUGAUACAACCAUUUCUUACUUAAUCUGCUAGGCAGUCCUGCGAAGGUGAAGGAUCAUCGCUGCUUGCUAGAAGAGGGAAAACCUAGAACAUGCUCAUUUUCUCCACUCACCUGGACCUGCAUAGACUCCGGACAUCAGGACUAAGAGCAGAAUCCAGGGGCACCCAUUCCUCACUCUGUCCUCUUUCCCAAGUCUUUGGUAAAGCAGCCACAGAUGGCGUCGUUAGGUUACUUCCAGAGUCAUUGAUCUCCAGACCUUCUCAAAGGCAAAUCUGCCUGAGGAUCAGGUGACAGAGAGGCCGCUGCUGUUUUGUUUGUUUUUCAAAUUCCACCUUGUAAAUACCAGCUACAGAAAACUGUGUGGUGAGGAAGGAAUCAGCCUUGCAAGUUCCCACCUGGAAAUAGGGAAUGGAUCCUCAAGGGUAGAAUUACCUCUGAACAAUUGGGUGCUGAGCACGCCACAGGGAUAGCUGGCUGGUGGAAUUUGUGUGCAAGCAAGGGCAAAACUUGUAUUAUCUUUGUUAGUUCAUGGAAACGCCAAGGCCAUUCUGUGGGUCGAGACUACUGACACCUAUCCUGGGUGUUUACUUUGCAAGGCCUUCUCCUGGCUCAAGCCACCCCAGCCUCGGGGUUAAGAAGAAAUCCCGUUCUCUACCCCCCCCACCCCCACCCCCUGUCUCUUGCUUUGACAGUAUCCAGCGGUGGCAGUCCAGGGCAACAGCGGAGCCAGGAAACGCUGUCCUGACGGUCUCCUGAAAGCCAAGGGCGGUUGGUGAAGGAACGCUUCUAUCCACUUGCAUCUUCGCCUGCUCUUGCCAAGUGGUCAGAAGCUCAGGCGGGGGCGGCUGUGGCCUUCUACUGCUAUGUCCAAGCAGCAGAGAGAAGUCCUGUGCUGGGCGUCAGCAACCCCCUGGGGCGCGCACCCCACCCCCACCCCUGCAUGCGCGCCCUCUGUUUCUGCAGGAGCUCAGAAGCCAGGGGCAGAGAAGGACUGCUAGGAAGGCAAGGCCGGAACUGAUCCUGCGAAGAUGGGGCAGCAGGUGGGACUUGGUGCUUGCCAGCGGGGAGCUUUGGUUUUCAUUAAUGAAAUCUAGCCAGUUGCCACCCGGGGACAGUGGGGACAGGCAUGGGAUCCUUGGACGGCGUUAAGUGAAUGGGAUUCAGUCUGGCCAAGGGGGGAAAACAUUCUUAUCCUGUAGCUGAAAACCUCCGCUGUCUCUCUCAGCCCCCCAGCCCUAGAACAAUAUGAUUUUCAAAAGAUCUGGUUUGGGCUUCACACUGUGCACGAGUCGCUGUGAGCAGGCAAAGGGGAAAAAAAAGAAGUUUUCCAUUUAAAAAAAUGAGCCUCAAAUUCACUCGUUCUUCCUGAAGCCAAAAGCUCCUGAUUUCUACUGGCUUCUCUCUGAUGGAUAAUGGGUAGUUUUUCAUACUUUGAAAAGCACUGCUUUUUUUUUUUCUCUCCGGUUGAGUAAGCUCUUUUGAGUGGGGGUUAAACUAGAAAAGCCAUUUCUCAUGGAAAUGGCUUUAUUUCCAUUAUACCCACACAGGCUUGUUUUCAGAGCCGCUCAGAGGUGCUGGACAACGUACUCUGAAUUGAGGAGGAAAAGGGAGAUGGCUGAAACACUUGCUUUGAGGGACGAAACCAAGCAAAGAGCUCUAUUCAUUCAUACUGACCUUGGAUAUAGAGAUAUCAAGUAAUGCUACGGUUCAGGCCUAAUUAUUUGCUGAGGAGCAGGCAGGGCUCCUGUUCCACGUUUUGUAGCCGUGAUCCUUCCCCCGCGGGGGGCCCCGUAUCAGAUGCUGCUCCCCCGUGGGCCGGGUGCGUUUGAUGGGUCCUGGCACUGCCUGGUCACAUUCCAUCUCAGCAGAGCCAUCCUUAGCGGCCAGCCAGUGCAGUGUCAUUGGUGAUACCACAGAAUAACACAGACCUGCCCGUGUGACGCUGGUGGCUUUCUACCUGGCUGGUGGCUUUCUCCCCCCCACCCCCCAAGUACUUCCAGCCUGCCAAAGGAUCAGAUCGCGUGUUAGAUUUACUUAAGGUAGCCUUUACAAAUAUUGAUUCAAGUUGAAAUCUCCCCACUCCAAAAUAAUAAUAUAACAAUAAUAACAGAUGCCUCGCCCGACCCCAGGUCAAGGUUGUAGAAUCACGCGGGGGUGGAGCCUGGGCAUGGCCAACAUUUCACAGAAAUCUCAAGCGGGUCCUUCUAGGGAAAGCCGGGGCUGGACCUGUGAACUAGAGGAAGGAAAGCUGUCUCUUGGCCUUGUUUUCAGGGAUUUCGGGGUCGUCUGGCUCUGUGGUCGGUGCUGCCCCGUUGGUAGGUAUGAGCUAAGGGCAGCCCAGUGUACUCAUGGUCCUGGAGGGGGUCGGUUUCACUGUUGUGAGCCCUGUUGAUAAGGAAACAGACGCGUCACAGGCCAAGUGCACCAGGCAGGAGAACACACACACACACACACACACACACACAGAGGCCCUCACCCUGGUCACAUGGCUGGGUGUGCGGGGUAUCCAGUAACCACAGGAGCUGCAGUCCCAUGACCUCGACUUCUCGUCUGUGGAACUGCGCUCACCCACAUUCUGGUUUCCCAUUGUAUAAAAAGGUGCUUAAUUUCUAUUAGUAGCAUUAGAAACCUUUUUUCUUAUGACCCGUGGAGACUUUCUAAGCCCCAUAAAGCCUAUCCCCCUUGUUGUUGGUAGGCCCCCAGCCCUCUCCAGUGAUGACAAAAAGGCUUACAGGAGACAUACUUUAAAUAUAAGGGCAUAAUCAGGCUAAAAGGAAAAGGAUCGGAGAAGAUGUACUGUGCCACGUCAAAGCCUAAAAAGCUGGCGUGGUGAUCUUAAGAUCAGACAAAGUCAGCUUUAAGAUAAGGAGUAUCCACAGAGGCAAUCCCCCAACCCCAGAAGGCAGUCCCCCUUCUGCCCGCCCUCCCACUGUCUGGGCGCCCAGCCCUUAGACUCUGCCGCCUCCGUGGGAAUGGGGAACUGGGUAGGGGUGCCUGGGGGCACUUCUCUGGGCACUUCUCGGGGCUCUUACUGCCUCCCUUUCUUUUCCCUUCUGCUCCCAUCUUCCAGGCCCUUGGCAUAAUCUCAUGCAGGGAUUUAGCAUUUACAAAAGCAGGAAUCCUUACAGCUGGCUCCGAUCCCUAAGGCAAGGAAGUGUGAAGCUUGGCUGCCGGUUGGAAAUUGGUGUGGGUGGGGAAUAAGGGAGCCAAAGACGAAUUAGUACUUCAGCCAUUGAUCCUGCCCAAAUACCUGCCACCUCUCCCAGGGGCUCUCGGGCCUCCCCAGGCUCUUGGUCUCUUGUUUGGACAAGAGCUGCAGACGUGCUUGACUUUCCUAUCUUUUCCCUUCCUGACCCCCGACUUUAACCUGGGUAAAGCCGCUCUCAUUUUUUUUGCAGGAGCCGCUUGGCUCCCUCAAAAGCCCUGGUCGAAUUGAGCAGAAGGAAGUUAUUCCCCCAGCGAGAGCAUAUGGAUGGGAGAUGUGGCUUCGGGACCAAAUCCUCACUCGGGGUGGUUGCUGGUCUGACCCGGCUCUCUGUGCAGAGGUCCUCUUGGGGAAGAGAGAGCCGUUCUCACUCACUGACCCAGGCGUGUUCUGUCUUUUUUUUUGUUUUUAAAGAUUUUAUUUGACAGAGCAAGAGAGCACAAGCAGGGGGAGUGGCAGGCAGAGGGAGAGGGAGUAGGAGGCUCCCCAUUGGGCAGGGAGCUUGAGGCAGGACUCACUCCCAGGACCUUGGGAUCAUGGCCUGAGCUGAAGGCAGACACUUAACCCACUGAGCCACCCAGGCGCCCCACAUAUUCUGUCUUACAAGGAGUUGCUCUGGUAGGGCAGCUGGGGUGGCUCACUAUCAAAGGAGGUCUGUGGAGGUGAGCACCUGCAUCAUUUGGAGAGCUUCUUAGAAAUGCAGAUUCUCUCAAAAAAAAAAAAAAGAGUAAAA